rnacentral:rRNA from 1 species
UGACGGGUAGGGGACCUGAGAGGGUGAUCCCCCACAAUGGAACUGAAACACGGUCCAUACAUCUACGGAUGGCAGCAGUAGGGAAUAUUGCACAAUGGGCGAAAGCCUGAUGCAGCAACGCCGCGUGUGCGAUGAAGGCCUUCGGGUUGUAAAGCACUUUUCUGAGGGAAGAGGAAGGACGGUACCUCAGGAAUAAGUCUCGGCUAACUACGUGCCAGCAGCCGCGGUAACACGUAGGAGGCAAGCGUUAUCCGGAUUUACUGGGCGUAAAGCGCGUGCAGGCGGUUUGGUAAGUUGGAUGUGAAAGCUCCUGGCUUAACUGGGAGAGGUCGUUCAAUACUGCCAAACUAGAGGACGGUAGAGGAAGGUAGAAUUCCUGGUGUAGUGGUGAAAUGCGUAGAUAUCAGGAGGAAUACCAGUGGCGAAGGCGGCCUUCUGGGCCGUUCCUGACGCUAAGACGCGAAAGCAUGGGUAGCGAACGGGAUUAGAAACCCCGGUAGUCCAUGCUGUAAACGAUGCAAACUAGGUGUUGGUGGUGUAAAAGCCAUCAGUGCCGCAGCUAACGCGAUAAGUUUGCCGCCUGGGGACUACGGCCGCAAGGUUAAAACUCAAAGGAAUUGACGGGUUCCCGCACAAGCAGCGGAGCGUGUGGUUUAAUUCGAUACUACGCGAAGAACCUUACCUGGGCUUGACAUAUAGGUGGUAGGAGACCGAAAGGCGACCGACCCUUCGGGGAGCCUAUACAGGUGCUGCAUGGCUGUCGUCAGCUCGUGUCGUGAGAUGUCCGGUUAAGUCCGGUAACGAGCGCAACCCUUGCCGUAUGUUAUACGUGUCAUACGGGACUGCCGAUAUAAAAUCGGGGGAAGGAGGGGAUGACGUCAAGUCAGCAUGGCCUUUAUGUCCAGGGCUACACACACGCUACAAUGGCCAGUACAAUAGGUUGCAAAGCCGCGAGGCGGAGCCAAUCCUCAAAGCUGGUCUCAGUUCGGAUUGCAGGCUGCAACUCGCCUGCAUGAAGCCGGAGUUGCUAGUAAACGCGCGUCAGCAACAGUGCGUUGAAUACGUUCCCGGGAAUUGUACACACCGCCCGUCACGUCAUGGAAGCUGGAAACACUUAAAGUCAGUAUCCUAACCCUAACGGGAGGGAGCUGCCAAAGGUGGGUCUGGUAACUGGGACGAAGUCGUAACAAGGUAGGUGUAGCGGAAGCUGCGCCUGG